AUGGAAACCUUGUAUUCUGCCCUCCAGGACGAGAUCUGUGCCUUCGAGGCACACGUGCAGAGCUGCCAGAAAGACUUUGACCUGCACACGCUUUACAAUGUGCUGCUGCUGCUGCUCCCCAGGAGCCCGACCUGGGAGGUGAAAAGCCUGGAGCAGCUAGAAAAGCUUGUUGAGGGCAGGGCCUGGCCAGGCCAGGACACCGUGAAAAUUACAGGCAGCGCUGAGAGUUGUGAUGUCCCUGGCUAUGUCGCCUGGCUUGGCUCCUACCUGGGGUACUUAAAUACUUUAAAAGAGACGUUUGAUGCCAAGGUCGUAUUCCCUUUGUGUGAGCACUUGUAUGUCCACGAUGAGCUGGAUGCCAGGGCUGAGCGUCGGUCUCCUGUGGGUUCCCACAACGGAUCUGGUGCUGGGCACAGCGGGGAGAAGAGGCCCCAUACUGUGACCUCCAUCGCAGAUAUCGCCAAGAAACUGUUUGCCAUCAGGAGGAAGUGGGCCUUGCUGCUCAAGCGGGGGGUGAUUGACGACCGGGUCUUCAGCCCCCAGAGCCUGUGCACCCUGCGGGGCUUUACCAACAUUGGCCCCGUCGUGAAGGUUCUGAGGCUGGUUCCUGACAUCUUUCACAAGAGCUUGGCCAUGGCGGCGCUUGCCAGCCAGUGGCUCAGUCUCCAUGGAAGCAGAUACAGCAUCUUCCAGCUGCUGUCAGAGCCGGGCCAGGAGAAGGGCGAGUGUAGAACUGGACUGGCUGCUGGCACCUCUGAGUCCUGGAGGAAUGGAGUGGCCAUCAGCCUCCCUGAGUCUGCCAGUGGCUGCAGCAGUUUCUCAGGAGGCCGGGUACCUCCCAGACCCAGGAGAAGCAGCAGCAGCUGCAGCUCCCAUGAUGGAGGUGGCUGGCUGGGCAGCGUCAGUGCGACGCGAACCAAGCUGCAGGAGAGUCGAGAGGAGCUGAUGGCCCUGUUCUGGCGAGUGGAACGAGCUGGAGUGCUGGAAACUCAGCUGCACGAGCUAACCCAGAGCAUCUCCAGGCUGCAGCUGGAGCAGCAAGACACAAGGCACAAGCUGGACGUUUUCCAGCAGAGGCUGGAGCAGGCAGACUGGGACGUGCCUGACAGCAUACCGCUGCUUAGAAGCCAGUGCCAGGCAACGCUCAGAGAGCUGGAGGAUCAGGGGCGGCACAUGGAGCUGGAGAAGUAUCGUAAGAGCAUCUUGCAGAGUGACUGGCUGCUGGAGCUGGAGCUCAGACCAGGUCUUAUUCGGCAGCUUGAUGCAGUAAGAGGCUUAGCUGCUGUCAUGGGUCACGAAUCUCAUCCCUGA
rnacentral:lncRNA from 1 species